CUCCUACGGGAGGCAGCAGUAGGGAAUCUUCCGCAAUGGGCGCAAGCCUGACGGAGCAACGCCGCGUGAGUGAGGAAGGCCUUCGGGUUGUAAAACUCGGUCACCUGGGAAGAGAGGUAUGGGGAGUGGAAUGCCCCAUACGAGGCGGUACCAGGGGAGGAAGCCCCGGCUAACUACGUGCCAGCAGCCGCGGUAAUACGUAGGGGGCAAGCGUUGUCCGGAAUCACUGGGCGUAAAGCGUGCGUAGGCGGUCUUUCAAGUCCGGGGUGAAAACUCAAGGCUCAACCUUGAGAAUGCCUUGGAAACUGGGGGACUUGAGUACUGGAGAGGCAAGGGGAAUUCCACGUGUAGCGGUGAAAUGCGUAGAGAUGUGGAGGAAUACCAGUGGCGAAGGCGCCUUGCUGGACAGUGACUGACGCUGAGGCACGAAAGCGUGGGGAGCAAACAGGAUUAGAUACCCUGGUAGUCCACGCUGUAAACGAUGAGUGCUAGGUGUUGGGGGUUCAUCCCCUCAGUGCCGAAGGAAACCCAAUAAGCACUCCGCCUGGGGAGUACGGUCGCAAGACUGAAACUCAAAGGAAUUGACGGGGGCCCGCACAAGCAGUGGAGCAUGUGGUUUAAUUCGAAGCAACGCGAAGAACCUUACCAGGGCUUGACAUCCCUCUGACCGGUUCAGAGAUGGGCCUUCCCUUCGGGGCAGAGGAGACAGGUGGUGCAUGGUUGUCGUCAGCUCGUGUCGUGAGAUGUUGGGUUAAGUCCCGCAACGAGCGCAACCCUUGACCUGUGUUACCAGCACGUAAUGGUGGGGACUCACAGGUGACUGCCGGCGUAAGUCGGAGGAAGGUGGAGAUGACGUCAAAUCAUCAUGCCCUUUAUGUCCUGGGCUACACACGUGCUACAAUGGGCGGUACAACGGGAAGCGAGACCGCGAGGUGGAGCGAAACCCAAAAAGCCGUUCGUAGUUCGGAUUGCAGGCUGCAACCCGCCUGCAUGAAGCCGGAAUUGCUAGUAAUCGCGGAUCAGCAUGCCGCGGUGAAUCCGUUCCCGGGCCUUGCACACACCGCCCGU
rnacentral:rRNA from 1 species